rnacentral:misc_RNA from 1 species
AACGCAUAUUGCGCCCGCAGCUUCGGCCUAGGGCAUGUCUGCCUCAGUAUCCUAUUGACCACACUCCCAUGGGCGGUUGUGCAGGUGAGUCCUGCACAGGGAGUGGAUCUGGCUCUUCCCUUACCGGACGCCUCCCGGAUUGGGUUAGCUGAAAAGGAGACAAGCAGCGAACCAACGUUAACCCGGCAGGUAGUUUUACUUACCUACAGGAAGUUGUCGGUGGUUCGUGGACUUGCAGCAGGAUUGGCUUUGCCGGGUUGACCUGAGCUCAGACAAGACUACCCGCUGAACUUAA